rnacentral:rRNA from 1 species
UACGUAGGGUGCGAGCGUUAAUCGGAAUUACUGGGCGUAAAGCGUGCGCAGGCGGUUUUGUAAGCCAGGUGUGAAAUCCCUGGGCUCAACCUGGGAAUGGCAUUUGGGACUGCAAGGCUGGAGUGCGGCAGAGGAGACUGGAAUUCCUGGUGUAGCAGUGAAAUGCGUAGAUAUCAGGAGGAACACCGAUGGCGAAGGCAGGCCUCUGGGCUGACACUGACGCUCAUGCACGAAAGCGUGGGGAGCAAACAGG